UUGAGAGUUUGAUCCUGGCUCAGAACGAACGCUGGCGGCAGGCCUAACACAUGCAAGUCGGACGAGAAGGUACCUUCGGGUACUGGAGAGUGGCGCACGGGUGAGUAACGCGUGGGGACCUACCUCUUAGUGGGGGAUAACGGUUGGAAACGACCGCUAAUACCGCAUACGCCCUUCGGGGGAAAGAUUUAUCGCUAAGAGAUGGACCCGCGUUGGAUUAGAUAGUUGGUGAGGUAACGGCUCACCAAGUCAGCGAUCCAUAGCUGGUUUGAGAGGAUGAUCAGCCACACUGGGACUGAGACACGGCCCAGACUCCUACGGGAGGCAGCAGUGGGGAAUAUUGGACAAUGGGCGAAAGCCUGAUCCAGCAAUGCCGCGUGAGUGAUGAAGGCCUUAGGGUUGUAAAGCUCUUUUACCCGGGAUGAUAAUGACAGUACCGGGAGAAUAAGCCCCGGCUAACUCCGUGCCAGCAGCCGCGGUAAUACGGAGGGGGUUAGCGUUGUUCGGAAUUACUGGGCGUAAAGCGCGCGUAGGCGGACUGGAAAGUUGGGGGUGAAAUCCCAGGGCUCAACCCUGGAACUGCCUCCAAAACUAUCAGUCUAGAGUUCGAGAGAGGUGAGUGGAAUUCCGAGUGUAGAGGUGAAAUUCGUAGAUAUUCGGAGGAACACCAGUGGCGAAGGCGGCUCACUGGCUCGAUACUGACGCUGAGGUGCGAAAGUGUGGGGAGCAAACAGGAUUAGAUACCCUGGUAGUCCACGCCGUAAACGAUGAUAACUAGCUGUUCGAGCUCAUAGAGCUUGAGUGGCGCAGCUAACGCAUUAAGUUAUCCGCCUGGGGAGUACGGUCGCAAGAUUAAAACUCAAAGGAAUUGACGGGGGCCUGCACAAGCGGUGGAGCAUGUGG
rnacentral:rRNA from 1 species